rnacentral:lncRNA from 1 species
GGGAGAAAUCCUAAAAAAACGGGAAAAUUCCCCAAAAAUCCCAGUUCAAUCCCAGUUCAGUCCCAGUUCAGCCCAGUUCAGCCCAGUUCAGCCCAGUUCAGCCCAGUUCAUCCCAGUUCAAUCCCAGUUCCAUCCCAGUUCAUCCCAGUCCAUCCCAGUCCAUCCCAGUCCAUCCCAGUUCAAUCCCAGUCCAAUCCCAGUUCAUCCCAGUCCCUCCCAGUUCAGCCCAGUUCAGCCCAGUUCAAUCCCAGUCCCUCCCAGUUCAGCCCAGUUCAGCCCAGUCCAAUCCCAGUCCAUCCCAGUCCCUCCCAGUUCACACCAGUCCAAUCCCAGUCCCUCCCAGUUCACACCAGUUCAAUCCCAGUCCCUCCCAGUCCCCUCCAGUCCCCGGUUCGUUAAUCGCUGUCGCC